AUUGAACGCUGGCGGCAGGCCUAACACAUGCAAGUCGAGCGGAGCGGCGGACGGGUGAGUAAUGCCUAGGAAUCUGCCUGGUCGCGGGGGCUAACGUCCGGAAACGGGCGCUAAUACCGCAUACUAUCAGAUGAGCCUAGGUCGGAUUAGCUAGUUUGAGGGGUAAAGGCCUACCAAGGCGACGAUCCGUAACUGGUCUGAGAGGAAGAUCAGUCACACUGGAACUGAGACACGGUCCAGACUCCGACGGGAGGCAGCAGUGGGGAAUAUUGGACAAUGGGCGAAAGCCUGAUCCAGCCAUGCCGCGUGUGUGAAGAAGGUCUUCGGAUUGUAAAGCACUUUAAGCUGGGAAGCGUUACCAACAGAAUAAGCACCGGCUAACUUCGUGCCAGCAGCCGCGGUAAUAC
rnacentral:rRNA from 1 species